UGCGUAGGUGGUCUGGCAAGUCAGAAGUGAAAACGCAGGGCUUAACCCUGCGACUGCUUUUGAAGCUGUCAGACUGGAGUGCAGGAGAGGCAAGCGGAAUUCCUAGUGUAGCGGUGAAAUGCGUAGAUAUUGGGAAGAACACCAGUGGCGAAGGCGGCUUUCUGGACUGUAACUGACGCUGAGGCUCAAAGGCUAGGGUAGGCGAACG
rnacentral:rRNA from 1 species